rnacentral:RNase_P_RNA from 1 species
GGAGAGGGCCGGGUGGUCGCUGUUCCCACCGCGAGGCGGGGGCAGAGGAAAGUCCGGACUCCACAGGGCAGGGUGGUCGGUAACGCCGACCGGGGGUGACCCCAGGGAAAGUGCCACAGAAAACAUACCGCCCUGAGCGAGGCCCGCAAGGGCCGAGUCGAAGGGUAAGGGUGAAAAGGUGCGGUAAGAGCGCACCGCGGCCCCGGUGACGGGGCCGGCACGGCAAACCCCACCCGGACCGGCACGGCAAACCCCACCCGGAGCAAGGCCAAAUAGGGGAGCGUCCCCGCCGGCGACGGCGGGGUGGUAGGAUGGCCCGUCCGAGACUCCCGGGUUGGCCGCUAGAGCCCCGCAGCAAUGCGGGGUCGAGAGAAAUGAUCACCGGUCCCGGCAACGGGACGUCACAGAAUCCGGCUUACAGGCCCUCUCCGGCC